rnacentral:rRNA from 1 species
AGUCAACAUGCCCAGAGGACGUGGAUAACCUCGGGAAACUGAGGAUAAACCGCGAUUGGUCAUGAUUUCUGGAAUGGUUUAUGGCUGAAAUCUAUAUGGCCUCUGGAUUGGACUGCGGCCGAUCAGGCUGUUGGUGAGGUAAUGGCCCACCAAACCUGUAACCGGUACGGGCUCUGAGAGGAGGAGCCCGGAGAUAGGCACUGAGACAAGGGCCCAGGCCCUAUGGGGCGCAGCAGGCGCGAAAUCUCUGCAAUAGGCGAAAGCUUGACAGGGUUACUCUGAGUGAUUCCCGCUAAGGGGAUCUUUUGGCACCUCUAAAAAUGGUGCAGAAUAAAGGGUGGGCAAGUCUGGUGUCAGCCGCCGCGGUAAUACCAGCACCCCCAGUGGUCGGGACGAUUAUUGGGGCUAAAGCAUCCCUAGCCCGUACUGCAAGUCUUCCGUUAAAUCCACCUGCUCCACAGUUGGGCUGCGGAGGAUACU